rnacentral:lncRNA from 1 species
AACAAAUACAGGUGAUGCAACUAGCUUAAGGUCAGCCUUUCUGAGGUUGAAGUUAACUGUCACACUGUAGAUGAAGAUGUGCAGUGCAAACAUGGUGUUGUGAUUUAUUUCACAGGGGUCUGUCUCAGUGACAGACCCCUCCCCCACCCAACGUCAAAAACCUUUGCCUUGUCUUCAGAAUUUGCUCAACAGGAAAGAAUGAGCUCCAUUGCGCGGACUGGUACAUUGAAGCCUGAGAUGGAAAGCUACUUGCUCAAAGUCCCACAGCAAAUCCGAUGCAAAGCUGGGUAAAAAUAAGUCUCCUUACAUGCGUGUGUGCAUUCCUUCAUUCACGAGUAAGUGUUGACUGGAGACCUACUAUGCGCUGGGCUCUGCUCCAGGUAGUCUCCUCAGUGCCCUGCCUUAGUAGGGCACCCCAGAUAAGCCUGGAUUCCGGAAACUCCGGAGAAAGGAUGUUGUACACCAAUUCUGAGACCUGCUGUGUGCCCCUAGCUAUGUUCAGGGGGCAGGAAAUAGACCAGACAUGGAGGUUCCCGCUUUGAGAGAAAUCCUAAAGGGCCCUUCCUCUUUAGGUGGGAGGUGAGCUAGACAGGUACCCAGAUUCUCUCGUGAGGCUCAGUGGCUGGCAGAAGCUGAGAAGUACUCAGUCAACUCAGACAGGACAAGUCUCAAUCUGGGAGCCUCCUGGCCUGGCAGAGCCAGGUGCUCUCUUCCUACUCAGAUGACUUCCAUAGGCCCUCAGCCCCUGAGAGCCUUUGCUGGGAAGCCAGGGAUGGCCCACAUUGCUGCUGCUGGCUGCUUCUCAGCAGCUGGGUGGAACAAUUCCUGCUGGCUCAGCUGCUGUAGCCGAUGAGAGAGACAGAGGAGGGAAUCAAGCGGGAUACGGCUGCGGUCACAGCGCAGUGAUGGGUAGGUGCACGCCAGCUGAGAGCAGAGUGGUCGGUGCUGGGAGCCCACAACUCCUGGCAGGGCCGGGGCCAGCUUGGAAAAUAAACACCCAGGGAUGGUACUUUAGGGUGGGGCGUCUGUUUGGAGAUAAAGGCACCUCCGCCCCUUGCCCAGGACAAAGGAGCCAUCUGGCCAGGCAGGGGCGGGUGCAGGCUCAGCCCCUCGGUGUCCCAGGCAGCUAGGGGGUGGGGUGCUGUCUGCACAGGCAGGCUGAGCUUAGGACCGAGGCCCCUCUCUGCAGCCUGGUACAGGCAGUGUCCACAUAGCCCAGGACUUCUCCACCUCAGCACUAAUGACACAUAGGGGCAGAUGAUUCUCGGGAGCGGGGCGUGAGGCUGUCCUGUACAUUGUAGGAUGUUGAGCAGCAUCCCCGGCCUCUACCUAUUAGAUGGCGAUAGCAUCCCCCGUCUCAAAUUAUGUAAGGCAAAAAGAUUUUCAAAUGUCCCCUGGGGACAAAAUCAACCCGAGUUAAGAGCCACUGACUGAGACCGGCAGCUCUCUCUCCUCACCCACCAGUUCCCAUGUUCCAUGCUUUUCCUGGGUAAUGAACCCCCGUCAGGGCCCAGGAGCUGACUGCAGCAGCUGCUUCAUGUACAUCUCACUGCAUCCUCCCACCAACGCUGUGAUGUGGAGGUGAAGAAGAUCUCCAUUUUACAGGAGAAGAAACGAAGACCUGGAAAGCACUGAUGACUUCAGGUUGCAGCCAGCCAUCAGGGAGCCAGCAAUAGAUGCAAGGAUUGGAGGACUCUGAGAGACGAGCAUGUACAGGAAGCACCCGGGCUGUGCACACACAGGAAAGACCACGUGAGGACCCAGCGAGAAGGCGGCCAUCCCCAAGCCAAGGAGAAAGGCCUCAAGAACAAACAAAUCUGCCAACACCUUGAUUUUGAACUUCCAGCCUCCUGAACUGUGGAAAAAUAAGUUUCUGCUGUUGAAGCCUCUGAGGCAGUGGUAUUUUCUUAUGGAAGCCCCAGCAGACCCCUAUGUGACUUGGUAGCCCCAUCUGUGACUGGAGAAGGUGAAGUCCACCGGCCCUGGUGCUGGGAGAAUCACACUGGAUGCUGAGACUGGGCCUCACUAAGCUCACAGGAGACAUGGCAGAAUGCCCCCAGGAACAGACUCCACCUCACCACUCUUGAGAUGUUGCAGCUUCAGGAAGUCUGCAGUGCUGAUCAGGGACCUGCAGGAUCUUGUUCACCUAACAGAGAAAUAGGUCUGAAGCAGACUACUAUGAGAAUGAAGUCAGCUAUCUGCCAGGAUGCCUCAGCCACCAUCAAGACUUUUGUGUGCAGAGAAACAGGAUUUAAGAGGGGAGGGACUGAAAGGCUGUGGAAGCCACUGGGUUCAGUCAUCCAUUCAAUCCACAUUUUUUGACCACUCCUUAUGUGCUAGGCCCUGUGCUUACACUCAGGAUUUAAUAGUAAAGAAAUUAUUGGACCCCAUUGGGCUGAUAGUAUUUCAGGGGAGAGAGACGUGAACAUGGUUAUACAUGAGGGUGAUUAGUGUCAAAUUGUGGGAAGCAAAGUGGGUGGGGUGUGUGUGCUGUGGAAGCCCAGGGAAACCACCUGAUUCAGUCAGGGGCAAUCAGGGAAGGAUACCUGGAAGAGGUGACACCUAAGCCAAGACUUGAUGAGCAUAUACGAAUAUUUUUGGCAAACAGUGAUGGUGAAGUGAGGGGAAAAAUGCUUCUAGAGAGAACAG